UGCUUGUCAGUUUUAAUAAAUGAGUCCUUCUGAAUUGGGACCUGAGCUGCGUCUAGUGGACUGGGACAGCAAGAUGGCAGCACAGACCCAGGUCCUUGUGCUCCUGUUCCUUUGGAUGUCUGGUGGCUGUGCGGAAAUUGUUGUUACUCAAUCUCCAAGGUCCCUGGCUGUGUCUGCAGGAGAAAAGGUCACCAUCAAUUGCAAGUCCAGCCAGAUUCUGUUAUUAUUUGGUAAUAACUACUUGGCUUGGUAUCAGCAGAAACUAGGAGAAGCUCCUAAGCUGCUCAUAUAUGGGCCAUCCAUCCGGGCAUCUAGAGUCCCUGAAAGGUUCAUUGACGGUGGGUCUGGGACUGAUUUCACACUCACCAUCAGCAGCAUGCAGGCUGAUGAUGUGGCAGAUUAUUACUGUCAACAGUAUUAUAACUACCCUCCCAUAGGGCUUCAGCCUUGA